GGAUCACAAAAGCUCAUAUAUUUACUUUACAAGUCCUUUACAUUUACAAAAUAGCUCAAAUAAAUUAUUUUCAAGUCGCCUUCCCACCCACUGGUCCAGCCUAGUCUGGGAUGACUACAUCUUUUGAACAGGCUUGAUUUACAUCAUCUGCAUCUAAAAAUAGAGAAAGCAAGGAUGAGUACGACAAGUCAUACUCAGCAAGCAGAUACUUCACUAUUCAACAAGAGUAGAAUUUAAGGAUAUUGAUACAGUAACAACGGGUUGACUAUAUCUAAAGGAGCAUAAAUAACGUGACAAUUUGCUGGAGCCAAUUUAAUUGGAAAUAGGUAAAAGAACAACAUAACCGGAUAUAAUGAAAAUGGACCAAGAAAUUAUUGGCGUCACACAUGACCGCAAGCUUCCCAACCCGGGAGUCACAGGGGUGAAAUUUCACACUUUUACGCUCUUAAGAGAGGUACUCCGACGUCGACAGUCUCAACUAGAACCACACAGGCGCUAGUAGAGCAGAGCUCUUGUACCCACUAAGACUCGAACACCUGAACCUACUGAUGUCGAUCGCUCCCAUGGAUCCAUCAUCGACACGUUCCCGAACAAGGUCCGUCCUUAGUGGAGAACUCAGACAGUCCCAUACCUGAACUGUGACCGGUACAAUACGUUUGCCGUCGUGACACCAAUAUAGAUGGACAGAAUAUGACAUGGGGCUGGAUUAGCUAUAUAGGAUCACUGAAAUAUCAGCCAAGACAAUAAAACCAUGCCUUUACAUGAGUUCCUCUCGUAUCAGACUUUCCAUCAACAAAUGGAUCAUCAAGGACAACAUGUCCUUCAACAAAUGGAUUAUCAAAGACAACAUGUCCUCAAAUAAAACAGGAAUCAACAGAGGAUAAAUAAGAUUCAAGGUCUAGUAACAUAAUCAGAACGAUGAUCACAGGAGACAACAAUAAGAUAGGAUUCAAGAAGUUAGCAAAGUAACCACUUGCCUCGGAUAAUAUGAUUUGUCCUUUAGAAUAAUAUUCUGCCAGAAGAUGAAACUCCAAUACUCCAUCAUCUUUGUAUAGAAUCUGACGAACACACAUAUACUAAUAUUCUUCUGACGUAUGGCUCCGUUCUUCCCUCUAGCAGCAUCUACACGAUCUAUAUAUCUUCAAACAUGGACACAUGCAUACUUGUAUUCUUCAUCUCUCUUCUCUUCGCUCUCUCUCCGCUGGUAUGCUCUAUUUCUCUCAUGCUCUCACUCUUGGUGAUGAGGAUGUGCAAAACGAGUAGCAGCAGCUAUUUAUAGAUGGUGAGCCCAGAGUGAACUCAGCCGAGCUAUUCUUGAAGCACACGAUCAUCUGGACUCUACCUAUUACGUGGCAAGCAUGCAUUGGUGUACGUGGAGAACCUGGUAAAAGAUCAAGCCGCAAUGGCCUUUGACCCUUGCCCCUUGACCCUUCGAACUGCUGCCCCUUUUGCUUGUGCAAAAGCCAAACAAACCUGACCACUAUACAAAACCUCCACGUAGAAAUUUCUUGGUCCUAAAUAUCUAAGGGUGCUGCCAGCACAACCUAGCUUCAUCUAGUACCAGGCCACGUUGGCCCUCUCAUGCAUAGGAUUUUACUUAGCUUGUAAGCAUAGUACAUACGUGUGCAUUCUCAUCAUUACAUGCAUGCACAUCUUCUAGUAUUUGGCCAUCUUCUCAUUACUAGCUAGCCUGUACUACCCACUAAUUUGUAUUACUUUGCAUGCUAAUGCCUUAACGUGAGUGCAUGGAUGCUAGUCUAUGUGCAUAUAUACAUACUUACUUAGUGUGUAAUUAUAUCCAUCUAAUAUUUUAUGCAUGCAAAAAUUACAGUUCUAUUUUAAUCACUUGAAUCAAUAAUCUAGCAUAUCUUAUUUGCUCAAAUAUUUUAUGUUAAACAUAUAAUAGAAAUUUAAUUACUCAUCUUAAUUUAAAUUAAUAACCCUAAAAAAUCAGGGUUAUUACAUCCUUCCCACCUUAUAAGAAUUUCGUCCCCGAAAUUCAUUUCCACUAUUUUGUUAGUGGCCAAAUAUCCUCCGAUAAUAAUUGAGAUAGCUUAUUUGAUGUGUGCUGAAUAAUUAAUUAAUAAAAUGCAAACAUGAUUUGCAAUCUUUUCUCCUUUUCAUGGAUAUAUCUGCUAUAACAUAAGUUGGCAACACUAGUCAUUUUAUUUGGUAAGGUCAUUAUCAAAAAGGAUAGAUGGUGGUAUAGUAAUUGUCCCAUUAUUAGAUAAAUAUCACCAGUUGUCUUAAACAAGAAAAUCUACACAAAUAACAAGUCAUGAGUCAACAAAAUGUCUAUUUAUUUCCCAUGCAUCCUCAAAUUUCACCAAUAAUAUGUACGCUAUAUUUUUAUUUGCCUGGAUAUCUGCCAAAAAUAUUUGUGAGUAACAACACACAAACAAGUUGAGACAAGGUAUGAAAAUAAAAUCUUCAUACCUGUCACACAACACAAAUAUAUUCGACGAUCUACCCGUUUAUCCCAACGCAACCUAAAACCUAGAGCUUUGAUACCACUUUAACUGUCACGCCCCGAGACCGGGCCUAGGCGAGACAGCUGACGCGCGCCUAUAGACCAGGGGCCUAUAGUCACGCAAGGCGUGAUUAAGCAGGCAUAAACCAACAGUGGAUCACAAAAGCUCAUAUAUCUACUUUACAAGUCCUUUACAUUUACAAAAUGGCUCAAAUAAAUUAUUUUCAAGUCGCCUUCCCACCCACUGGUCCAGCCUAGUCUGGGAUGACUACAUCUUUUGAACAGGCUUGAGUUACAUCGUCUGUAUCUAAAAAUAGAGAAAGCAGGGAUGAGUACGACAAGUCAUACUCAGCAAGCAGAUACUUCACUAUUCAACAAGAGUAGAAUUUAAGGAUAUUGAUACAGUAACAGCGGGUUGACUAUAUCUAAAGGAGCAUAAAUAACGUGACAAUUUGCUGGAGACAAUUUAAUUGGAAAUAGGUAAAAGAACAACAUAACCGGAUAUAAUGAAAAUGGACCAAGAAAUUAUUGGCGUCACACAUGACCGCAAGCUUCCCAACCCGGGAGUCACAGGGGUGAAAUUUCACACUUUUACGCUCUUAAGAGGGGUACUCCAACGUCGACAGUCUCAACUAGAACCACACAGGCGCUAGUAGAGCAGAGCUCUUGUACCCACUAAGACUCGAACACCUAAACCUACUGAUGUCGAUCGCUCCUAUGGAUCCAUCACCGACACGUUCCCGAACAAGGUCCGUCCUUAGUGGAGAACUCAGACAGUCCCAUACCUGAACUGUGACCGGUACAAUACGUUUGCCGUCGUGACACCAAUAUAGAUGGACAGAAUAUGACAUGGGGCUGGAUCAGCUAUAUAGGAUCACUGAAAUAUCAGCCAAGACAAUAAACCCAUGCCUUUACAUGAGUUCCUCUCGUAUCAGACUUUCCAUCAACAAAUGGAUCAUCAAGGACAACAUAUCCUUCAACAAAUGGAUUAUCAAAGACAACAUGUCCUCAAAUAAAACAGGAAUCAACAGAGGAUAAAUAAGAUUCAAGGUCUAGCAACAUAAUCAGAACGAUGAUCAGAGGAGACAACAAUAAGAUAGGAUUCAAGAAGUUAGCAAAGUAACCACUUGCCUCGGAUAAUAUGAUUUGUCCUUUAGAAUAAUAUUCUGCCAGAAGAUUAAACUCCAAUACUCCAUCAUCUUUGUAUAGAAUCUGACAAACACGCAUAUACUAAUAUUCUUCUCACGUAUGGCUCCGUUCUUCCCUCCAGCAGCAUCUACACGAUCUAUAUAUCUUCAAACAUGGACGCAUGCAUACUUGUAUUCUUCAUCUCUCUUCUCUUCGCUCUCUCUCCGCUGGUAUGCUCUAUUUCUCUCAUGCUCUCACUCUUGGUGAUGAGGAUGUGCAAAACGAGUAGCAGCAGCUAUUUAUAGAUGGUGAGCCCAGAGUGAACUCAGCCGAGCUGUUCUUGAAGCACACGAUCAUCUGGACACUACCUAUUAUGUGGCAAGCAUGCAUUGGUCUACGUGGAGAACCUGGUAAAAGAUCAAGCCGCAAUGGCCUUUGACCCUUGCCCCUUGACCCUUCGAACUGCUGCCCCUUUUGCUUGUGCAAAAGCCAAACAAACCUGACCACUAUACAAAACCUCCACGUAGAAAUUUCUUGGUCCUAAAUAUCUAAGGGUGCUGCCAGCACAACCUAGCUUCAUCUAGUACCAGGCCACGUUGGCCCUCUCAUGCAUAGGAUUUUACUUAGCUUGUAAGCAUAGUACAUACGUGUGCAUUCUCAUCAUUACAUGCAUGCACAUCU
rnacentral:lncRNA from 1 species